GACGAACGCUGGCGGCGUGCUUAACACAUGCAAGUCGAACGGAAAGGCCCCUUUGGGGGUACUCGAGUGGCGAACGGGUGAGUAACACGUGAGUAACCUGCCCUUGACUUCGGGAUAACUUCAGGAAACUGGAGCUAAUACCGGAUAGGAAUCCUUGCUGCAUGGUGGGGGUUGGAAAGCUUCGGCGGUUUUGGAUGGACUCGCGGCUUAUCAGCUUGUUGGUGGGGUAGUGGCUUACCAAGGCUUUGACGGGUAGCCGGCCUGAGAGGGCGACCGGCCACAUUGGGACUGAGAUACGGCCCAGACUCCUACGGGAGGCAGCAGUGGGGAAUAUUGCACAAUGGGCGGAAGCCUGAUGGAGCAACGCCGCGUGCGGGAUGACGGCCUUCGGGUUGUAAACCGCUUUCAGCAGGGGCGAAGCUUGUGGUGACGGUACCUGCAGAAGAAGCACCGGCUAACUACGUG
rnacentral:rRNA from 1 species